rnacentral:lncRNA from 1 species
AAUCAUCGCAUAGCAAAAUGCACAAAGAGUGCCAUAGUCAUACAUCACAUCAGAUACAAAUCUCCAGAACCGGGAAAGAAAUACAAGCAAAAGAAUUCCGUCAACAGGCCUGACGGUAAUCCUCACGAAUAAUAAAGGCUAGCCUGAUGAGGGUCCUAUAGACGGCCCUAUAUCAUCAACCAUCUUCGCGAACUCUGCGGCGAAUCUGAGCUCGGUGUUCUCCUGUUGUA